AUAUUGAUGGAGGGGAAACAUAAUAUGGAUGAAACAGACCGAAUUUCGGAAUUGCCAGAGACAAUGUUGCAGCACAUAAUGUCUUUCCUUGAUGUUAAAGAUGUACGAAUGGGUACAUUAUCCAAGUCCAAGAUUUGGAACAGUCCAUGGAACUCACUCUCCUACUUAAAUUUUGGUGAUAAAUUUUUCCCCAACUCAAGGUCAGAAGACUCGCCAAACCUCGUGAAUGUUGUAGAUCAAACUCUAGCAAGUCGUCAAAAGCACAAGAUUUCUGUGCAAAAAUUUUGGAUAUUGUUGCCGUAUUGGCCAAAGCACAAGAUUUCUUAUGUCGACGAUUGGAUUAGAACACUUGUAGCUUGUAAUAUCAAAGAGUUGAAUCUAAGAGUAAGCAGACCUAUUUAUGAAGGAAAACACGAUUACAACGAGUUGCCUGAGGGAAUCUUUAAUGCCAAAGCACUAAACGUGCUGAAUUUGAAUGGGUUGCUAAACGUGCUGAAUUUGAAUGGAUUUAAGAUUAAAUUUCCCUCUAAUGGUGUAAUAAUGUUUUCAUCUUUACGAGAGUUUCACCUAUGUGAUGCAUUUUUGGACGAUGAAUUUAUUCAAGCUCUAUGCACAAGCUGCUGCAAUUUAGAGGUUUUGUCUUUGCAGUGCUUUGAUGGACUUGCCAGUUUUCAAGUUGGUGAAACAUCUUUAUCUAAACUGAAAAAGGAAAACCUGGAAUUUUGCCCUUCUAAACUCCAAUUGGUUGAUAUUGCAGCAACUAAUCUUGAAGACCUCAAGAUCUCCAGUCAUGGGAAUCUAAAGGUAGUUAAAAUAACUGUUUUAAAGCCCUUAAGAGUUUGUUUCUCGAUGGCGUGGCCGUGAUGGAAAACUGGUUAGAGGAACUAUUUUACAGCCUACAAAAUCUUGAAAAGUUCUAGUUAUUUUGGUGAAAGACCUUAAAGACUAUGAAGAUCACGAGUGAUAGGCUCAAAUCAUAUGAUUGUCAUAAUCUGAUUGCUGUUGAAUUAGACACUCCUAAUUUAAUAAGGUUCUCAUAUGACUGCCAUUCAUUGCUAACAUUCAAACUGAAAGCUUCAGUUUCAUUAGUAGCCAAUAUCUCCUUUGCUUCAGCAGAAACCCCUGACAACAAUGGAUACCGUAACGUCGCGAAUUUUCUUAGUAACUUCAAUCCAUCCAUGGCUAUUGAAUUAUCAAGUGCAAAUGACAAGCUAAUGCAGGUUACAGUUAUGCCAAAAGACAUGAGAGAAAACAUGCUUCCUCCACUUUAUGGUGAUAAGUGUGUGCACGUAAACAAUAACAAUCGAUUGAAUCAUUCAGUUGUGGAUGUGGUUGAUAGUUUGCUUUGGUUACAAGGUAUUUCAUCCAAGGAAAAGAACUGAUCUACCUUAUACAACCAGGAUCUCAGUUCCACACCAGUGAAUCGAGGGAACUCAAUCUUGGAUAGCCUUCUCAUGAAGCUGGUGAAGGCCCGCAUUGGUGGUUUCUACCCACCUCCUCCUCCUUCUUGAUUUCCCAGAGGUGGUUGCUGCAUUUCUGCUGCUGCUGCUUGGUUCGGGCCUCCUAUGUAUGUUUGGAACUAAGUGUUUGGCCCCAUUCCAUGUGCCUGCAUACAUUGCUGUCCCCUUGAAGAGGAAUCCGAGGCAAAUAUUCUCCUAUAGGUGACUGCGAAUGGGGUGUAACCUCUAUUCUCAUCUGAUAUAUUCCAGGAGACACCGUGGUUGUUCCAGCAUCUGAGGGUAGUAACCAAGCCAUCGAAUUUCCUGAGGGAGUAUAGACAUCUCCACCUCCAUCAUGUCCUUAGCAGCUUUCCCUUUGUCACUUCUCUUCGCAGUUUCAAGAGAAGCCCUCAUUUCUGCAAGGGACUUCCUACGUUGUCCUCUAUUUAGUUUUGCCUCACUACAAAAUUAGUCAUCUCAAUUGUCAUCUGAUCUAGCAUUUCUUUGAUUUCUCUCAUAUCAUUCGUCGUUUUAGAA